UUAAGCGACUAAGCGUACACGGUGGAUGCCCUGGCAGUCAGAGGCGAUGAAGGACGUGCUAAUCUGCGAUAAGCGUCGGUGAGGUGAUAUGAACCGUUAUAACCGGCGAUUUCCGAAUGGGGAAACCCAGUGUGUUUCGACACACUAUCAUUAACUGAAUCCAUAGGUUAAUGAGGCGAACCGGGGGAACUGAAACAUCUAAGUACCCCGAGGAAAAGAAAUCAACCGAGAUUCCCCCAGUAGCGGCGAGCGAACGGGGAGGAGCCCAGAGCCUGAAUCAGUGUGUGUGUUAGUGGAAGCGUCUGGAAAGGCGUGCGAUACAGGGUGACAGCCCCGUACACAAAAAUGCACAUAUUGUGAGCUCGAUGAGUAGGGCGGGACACGUGGUAUCCUGUCUGAAUAUGGGGGGACCAUCCUCCAAGGCUAAAUACUCCUGACUGACCGAUAGUGAACCAGUACCGUGAGGGAAAGGCGAAAAGAACCCCGGCGAGGGGAGUGAAAAAGAACCUGAAACCGUGUACGUACAAGCAGUGGGAGCCUCUUAAUGGGGUGACUGCGUACCUUUUGUAUAAUGGGUCAGCGACUUAUAUUCUGUAGCAAGGUUAACCGAAUAGGGGAGCCGAAGGGAAACCGAGUCUUAACUGGGCGUUAAGUUGCAGGGUAUAGACCCGAAACCCGGUGAUCUAGCCAUGGGCAGGUUGAAGGUUGGGUAACACUAACUGGAGGACCGAACCGACUAAUGUUGAAAAAUUAGCGGAUGACUUGUGGCUGGGGGUGAAAGGCCAAUCAAACCGGGAGAUAGCUGGUUCUCCCCGAAAGCUAUUUAGGUAGCGCCUCGUGAAUUCAUCUCCGGGGGUAGAGCACUGUUUCGGCAAGGGGGUCAUCCCGACUUACCAACCCGAUGCAAACUGCGAAUACCGGAGAAUGUUAUCACGGGAGACACACGGCGGGUGCUAACGUCCGUCGUGAAGAGGGAAACAACCCAGACCGCCAGCUAAGGUCCCAAAGUCAUGGUUAAGUGGGAAACGAUGUGGGAAGGCCCAGACAGCCAGGAUGUUGGCUUAGAAGCAGCCAUCAUUUAAAGAAAGCGUAAUAGCUCACUGGUCGAGUCGGCCUGCGCGGAAGAUGUAACGGGGCUAAACCAUGCACCGAAGCUGCGGCAGCGACACUAUGUGUUGUUGGGUAGGGGAGCGUUCUGUAAGCCUGUGAAGGUGGCCUGUGAGGGUUGCUGGAGGUAUCAGAAGUGCGAAUGCUGACAUAAGUAACGAUAAAGCGGGUGAAAAGCCCGCUCGCCGGAAGACCAAGGGUUCCUGUCCAACGUUAAUCGGGGCAGGGUGAGUCGACCCCUAAGGCGAGGCCGAAAGGCGUAGUCGAUGGGAAACAGGUUAAUAUUCCUGUACUUGGUGUUACUGCGAAGGGGGGACGGAGAAGGCUAUGUUGGCCGGGCGACGGUUGUCCCGGUUUAAGCGUGUAGGCUGGUUUUCCAGGCAAAUCCGGAAAACCAAGGCUGAGGCGUGAUGACGAGGCACUACGGUGCUGAAGCGACAAAUGCCCUGCUUCCAGGAAAAGCCUCUAAGCAUCAGGUAACAUCAAAUCGUACCCNAAACCGACACAGGUGGUCAGGUAGAGAAUACCAAGGCGCUUGAGAGAACUCGGGUGAAGGAACUAGGCAAAAUGGUGCCGUAACUUCGGGAGAAGGCACGCUGAUAUGUAGGUGAAGCGACUUGCUCGUGGAGCUGAAAUCAGUCGAAGAUACCAGCUGGCUGCAACUGUUUAUUAAAAACACAGCACUGUGCAAACACGAAAGUGGACGUAUACGGUGUGACGCCUGCCCGGUGCCGGAAGGUUAAUUGAUGGGGUUAGCGGUAACGCGAAGCUCUUGAUCGAAGCCCCGGUAAACGGCGGCCGUAACUAUAACGGUCCUAAGGUAGCGAAAUUCCUUGUCGGGUAAGUUCCGACCUGCACGAAUGGCGUAAUGAUGGCCAGGCUGUCUCCACCCGAGACUCAGUGAAAUUGAACUCGCUGUGAAGAUGCAGUGUACCCGCGGCAAGACGGAAAGACCCCGUGAACCUUUACUAUAGCUUGACACUGAACAUUGAGCCUUGAUGUGUAGGAUAGGUGGGAGGCUUUGAAGUGUGGACGCCAGUCUGCAUGGAGCCGACCUUGAAAUACCACCCUUUAAUGUUUGAUGUUCUAACGUUGGCCCGUAAUCCGGGUUGCGGACAGUGUCUGGUGGGUAGUUUGACUGGGGCGGUCUCCUCCUAAAGAGUAACGGAGGAGCACGAAGGUUGGCUAAUCCUGGUCGGACAUCAGGAGGUUAGUGCAAUGGCAUAAGCCAGCUUGACUGCGAGCGUGACGGCGCGAGCAGGUGCGAAAGCAGGUCAUAGUGAUCCGGUGGUUCUGAAUGGAAGGGCCAUCGCUCAACGGAUAAAAGGUACUCCGGGGAUAACAGGCUGAUACCGCCCAAGAGUUCAUAUCGACGGCGGUGUUUGGCACCUCGAUGUCGGCUCAUCACAUCCUGGGGCUGAAGUAGGUCCCAAGGGUAUGGCUGUUCGCCAUUUAAAGUGGUACGCGAGCUGGGUUUAGAACGUCGUGAGACAGUUCGGUCCCUAUCUGCCGUGGGCGCUGGAGAACUGAGGGGGGCUGCUCCUAGUACGAGAGGACCGGAGUGGACGCAUCACUGGUGUUCGGGUUGUCAUGCCAAUGGCACUGCCCGGUAGCUAAAUGCGGAAGAGAUAAGUGCUGAAAGCAUCUAAGCACGAAACUUGCCCCGAGAUGAGUUCUCCCUGACUCCUUGAGGGUCCUGAAGGAACGUUGAAGACGACGACGUCGAUAGGCCGGGUGUGUAAGCGCAGCGAUGCGUUGAGCUAACCGGUACUAAUGAACCGUGAGGCUUAACCUU
rnacentral:rRNA from 1 species